rnacentral:rRNA from 1 species
CCUACGGGUGGCAGCAGUGAGGAAUAUUGGUCAAUGGACGAGAGUCUGAACCAGCCAAGUAGCGUGAAGGAUGACUGCCCUAUGGGUUGUAAACUUCUUUUAUAAAGGAAUAAAACGAGGCACGUGUGCCUUUUUGUAUGUACCUUAUGAAUAAGGAUCGGCUAACUCCGUGCCAGCAGCCGCGGUAAUACGGAGGCUCCGAGCGUUAUCCGGAUUUAUUGGGUUUAAAGGGAGCGUAGAUGGGUUGUUAAGUCAGUUGUGAAAGUUUGCGGCUCAACCGUAAAAUUGCAAUUGAUACUGGCAGUCUUGAGUACAGUUGAGGUAAGCGGAAUUCGGGGUGUAGCGGUGAAAUGCUUAGAUAUCACGAAGAACCCCGAUUGCGAAGGCAGCUUACUGAACUGUGACUGACAUUGAGGCUCGAAAGUGUGGGUAUCAAACAGGAUUAGAUACCCUGGUAGUC